CUCUUUCUGGAGAUUCCUCCUCUGUGGAGUAUUUCCUGCAAAGCUUGAUCUUCAGGUUCAGGAUUAAGUAAAAUUUUUCUUCUGGAAGUGACCAGUGGAGAAACUCCAGAGUGGUGGAGUUCUCACCAGAGAUCUUUGCCCCAGGGCAGAUGCUGCCUACAAAAUCUGUACAUCAGCAUGGAGGAAGACCCAUAUGCAUAAUUCCUUUCUGCAGGUCACAGCCUUGUAGCUUUGACAUCUGACCCAAGAAGAAAGAAUGAAAUGAAGCAGGAGACUGAUAGAACAAGACAUCCAUUGCAGAGAGCAAAGAAAAGCAAGCAGAGAAAAAUCUAUAAAUGAAGAUCUAUUUAAAAAAUAAAAAAAAAAUAAAAAAAACUUCUCUUGAAAUGCCUCAGCCCAAUUAUUCUUAUCUGGUACCUUUGGACAUAUUCAUUUGUAUUUAAUGUUUUAGGUAUGGUUAUAUGCAGUAGCCACUACUAUAGUAAUGGUCAUGCUGAUAUUUUAUUUUACCGAUCAUCAUUUCAGCUGUAUUACAUCCAGUGACUAGACAUACAUUGUCAAGUGAAUUUGGAACUGUAAUACAUCUGUAUAAGGAAAAUGAUGGUGUAUCACUUCAGCUAGAAGAACUAGGAAGUUCUGCAACAGGCUGUGCAUUGAGGUAGUCCCUAUGAUAACUAAAUCGUUUCCAAUAAAAGUUAAUUUUUAGGAAGGAUCAGAAAUGUAUCAAGUAAACCUACUAAGAAAUCUAUUUCUUUUCCUACAACUUCUGAAACAGAAAUUUUGAAAAAUUACUGCUGAGUUUAAUACAAACAUGAAAUGUGUUGAAUGUGAGACAAAUUUUUUUUAUGUCUGGUGUAACUCUUGUUACACUUUUUUACGCUUGUUUACAACUUUUCCUUUUUUUCUUUAAUUAACCAUUAUUUACGUUUAGUGUUGUCUUGAUUUAGAAUAAAACUACUUAAUAAAUGAUUUUUUAAGUCCC
ensembl:lncRNA